rnacentral:rRNA from 1 species
CACGGGGGGAGCAAGCGUUGUUCGGAAUUACUGGGCGUAAAGGGCUCGUAGGCGGCCAACUAAGUCGGACGUGAAAUCCCUCGGCUUAACCGGGGAACUGCGUCCGAUACUGGAUGGCUUGAGUUCGGGAGAGGGAUGCGGAAUUCCAGGUGUAGCGGUGAAAUGCGUAGAUAUCUGGAGGAACACCGGUGGCGAAGGCGGCAUCCUGGACCGACACUGACGCUGAGGAGCGAAAGCGUGGGUAGCAAACAGG